rnacentral:rRNA from 1 species
GAUGAACGCUGGCGGCGUGCCUAAUACAUGUAAGUCGAGCGAACGGACGAGAAGCUUGCUUUUCUGAUGUUAGCGGCGGACGGGUGAGUAACACGUGGAUAACCUACCUAUAAGACUGGGAUAACUUCGGGAAACCGGAGCUAAUACCGGAUAAUAUUUUGAACCGCAUGGUUCAAAAGUGAAAGACGGUCUUGCUGUCACUUAUAGAUGGAUCCGCGCUGCAUUAGCUAGUUGGUGAGGUAACGGCUUACCAAGGCAACGAUGCAUAGCCGACCUGAGAGGGUGAUCGGCCACACUGGAACUGAGACACGGUCCAGACUCCUACGGGAGGCAGCAGUAGGGAAUCUUCCGCAAUGGGCGAAAGCCUGACGGAGCAACGCCGCGUGAGUGAUGAAGGUCUUCGGAUCGUAAAACUCUGUUAUUAGGGAAGAACAUAUGUGUAAGUAACUGUGCACAUCUUGACGGUACCUAAUCAGAAAGCCACGGCUAACUACGUG